rnacentral:rRNA from 1 species
AAACGGGGUCUAAUACCGGAUAAUACCUUCUCGGGCAUCUGAGGGGGUUGAAAGCUCCGGCGGUGAAGGAUGAGCCCGCGGCCUAUCAGCUUGUUGGUGGGGUGAUGGCCUACCAAGGCGACGACGGGUAGCCGGCCUGAGAGGGCGACCGGCCACACUGGGACUGAGACACGGCCCAGACUCCUACGGGAGGCAGCAGUGGGGAAUAUUGCACAAUGGGCGAAAGCCUGAUGCAGCGACGCCGCGUGAGGGAUGACGGCCUUCGGGUUGUAAACCUCUUUCAGCAGGGAAGAAGCGAAAGUGACGGUACCUGCAGAAGAAGCACCGGCUAACUACGUGCCAGCAGCCGCGGUAAUACGUAGGGUGCGAGCGUUGUCCGGAAUUAUUGGGCGUAAAGAGCUCGUAGGCGGCUUGUCACGUCGGUUGUGAAAGCCCGGGGCUUAACCCCGGGUCUGCAGUCGAUACGGGCAGGCUAGAGUGUGGUAGGGGAGAUCGGAAUUCCUGGUGUAGCGGUGAAAUGCGCAGAUAUCAGGAGGAACACCGGUGGCGAAGGCGGAUCUCUGGGCCAUUACUGACGCUGAGGAGCGAAAGCGUGGGGAGCGAACAGGAUUAGAUACCCUGGUAGUCCACGCCGUAAACGUUGGGAACUAGGUGUUGGCGACAUUCCACGUCGUCGGUGCCGCAGCUAACGCAUUAAGUU